GCCCUGGGCGCGGAGCGAGGACUCUGGUCAGAGGUAAUUAUGUCACCGCGUUUUCUCGCCGUGACAGCCGAAUAAACACGAUCUCCAAUAAACAUCUCUAAUGAGGGAGGAGGCCCGAGGAUGGCUGGGUUUGAUUUAUGACUGGAGGAGAAGGUCCACUUCCCACUGCGAAGCAGGCGACCUGCUCGCCGCCCAGCUCCAGGGAGAGGAACCCGCGGAGGAGAGGAUCCCGGCCCAGGACUCGCCCCAACCCUCAGAGACUUUAAAGGGCCAAAUUUGUUUUGACCUACAGCCAGACCACUUUUUGUCCAACAAUAACCCAGAAGCGGGUCAGAUUCCAUCCCCUGUGCCCAGCAGCAGGUGAGGACGUUGCACUUGGUGGCAGCAGGACAAACAGUACUGAAGUUAUGCCUGGGCCUCAGGCCAAGUAGCUCGGACACCUCCAGGGAAGAUCGACCAUCGGGCUUUAUGCUUUUAGCAGGCAACUUCUCCUGGCUCGGAUGAUCUAGAGCAGUGAUUUUCCAGCAGUUCCUGGGGGUCUGGUGAGAAGAAGACAGGCCUGGAGUUGAAGGAGAGAAAAAAGGCUGGGCUGGCCUGUUGGAAGGAGACUUCCACCUCUGCAAGCAUCCCCAUCUUGUUUGGAUUGCAAACUCAGUUGCCAGCCAAGCAAGAUGAGGGGAACGGCUUUGGACUCGGGCUGACUUGGACCACAUCCCAUCUCUGCCGCCAUCUGAGCUCUGUGACCGUGAAGUGCUCCUACCACCCUUCUGAGCUUUUGUUUUCUUCACCUGUAAAAGUGCAGGAAGAAUACUUACCUGUCACCAGAAUAUUCCAAGAAUUAGAAUUAAUGUUUGGAAAGUUGUUGACACCUAGCAGGUACUCAAAAAAUGGUGGCUAUUACUACUACAUUCUACAGUCUCUGCGCUACUUUGAAAGGACUUGCUUCUAGGGGAGCUUAUUUCUAAUGGGGAGAUAUUUUGGUUUUGAAGUAAAAUCUAUACCGUGUUAGAUGGGAGGUGUGCUUUAGAGAAAAAAUAAAGCAGGGAUGGGAGACUGAGAUGGCUGGGGAGCCUGAGGAAAGCCCCAUUUAUAGGUCUAAGAAUGAGAGAGAGUUUCUUUCUUAAAUUCCCUCUCCCUACUUUAUCAAAGAGAUUUUACUUCCAAAUAAGUGUAAACGGGAAAAGGGAACAGAGCCUGAAAGACACUCAAAACAGACACUCAAAAAUGCUGUCCUAGGGAGUCAGCUGGGGUGUCAUCACUGACGUGGGACUUAGGGUGUUGAGCUGGAGUCCUGGUUUGUCAUUUGAAAAGAGAAAUCCUGAUCAAGUUGUUGUACUGCUCUUUGACUCUAUUUCCUUAACUGUAAAUUAGAGGUAAGAAUCCCUGUCUCACGUGCACGAGCAGGAGAGGCUUUCUGGUCUGUUGGGAUUCUCAGAUUCACAAGGAUCAGGACGUGGCCAUUGAAAGCUGCCAUCCCAAGAGGCAAAACUAUGGAAGAUAGGAAGGAAAUCCGUACUUACCUCACUCUGCUCCCUCCUCCUUUCCGUGCCUGCGUGCACACACACACGCAUGCACACACCCUGAGGUUGUCAGGGGACUAGAGGUGUUGUCCUUGAAAGUGAAAGUCAUUCCAAGGCAAAGGAAAUGUACUGGUGUUGAGAAGGUUCGGUAGGGCCCCUUCCAACGGGAAUGGCUGACUCGCCAUGUCCUCUAAAGAUGCUGCCUUGAUUCGUGGAUUUCAGCAUUGUCCAAGCUCUGUGGCACCAUGGACUGGUUGUAUGUCACUGACAAGCAAAUGCUUAGUCCUGUGCUGUAU
rnacentral:lncRNA from 1 species